rnacentral:rRNA from 1 species
AUUGAACGCUGGCGGCAGGCCUAACACAUGCAAGUCGAGCGGCAGCGGGAAAGUAGCUUGCUACUUUUGCCGGCGAGCGGCGGCCGGGUGAGUAAUGCCUGGGAAAUUGCCCAGUCGAGGGGGAUAACAGUUGGAAACGACUGCUAAUACCGCAUACGCCCUACGGGGGAAAGCAGGGGAACUUCGGGCCUUGCGCGAUUGGAUAUGCCUAGGUGGGAUUAGCUAGUUGGUGAGGUAAUGGCUCACCAAGGCGACGAUCCCUAGCUGGUCUGAGAGGAUGAGCAGCCACACUGGAACUGAGACACGGUCCAGACUCCUACGGGAGGCAGCAGUGGGGAAUAUUGCACAAUGGGGGAAACCCUGAUGCAGCCAUGCCGCGUGUGUGAAGAAGGCCUUCGGGUUGUAAAGCACUUUCAGCGAGGAGGAAAGGUUGAUGCCUAAUACGUAUCAACUGUGACGUUACUCGCAGAAGAAGCACCGGCUAACUCCGUGCCAGCAGCCGCCGUAA